GCUGUCCUGCAGGGAUAAUGAGGAAUUUACCAAAGCAGAGCAACAGAUGCCUUGAGAGAUAGCAGACAGAAGAACCAGUGCCCAGUUAAACCAAGGUUCAGAAUGCCAGGCUGCCUGUGAGAGAAGGCUCAUCAGUGACAGUUUUCAGUGGGUAAAAAUGGGUAAAAAGCUGUAAUUCCUUGGGGCUGGCUUGGUUCUGCGAAGAGCA
rnacentral:lncRNA from 1 species